GCUGCACUGGGCACUAAGUGUGUUCUCAUUCAGUUUCAUCCUCAGCCAGGUCAGCAAGAUCGGAAUUAUUUCCUCUUCAAUCAGAUGAAAACGUGGACUCAGAGAAGUUGGGUAAGCUGCCCUAGGUCACAGAGCUGGUGAGUGCCAGAGAUGGCAGUGUGUGCUGUACAGACUUCCCAGCUCUGGACACACCUGCUUUCAGCAGUGAGCUGUAAUGAGUGGGCUUCUGAGACUCUGCAGGAGCCCGCCUGUCACUGAGGACCCAGCCCAGGUGACAAAGUCCCUGCCCCAGGGAGCAUCUUCUAAGUCAAAGUCUAGCGGAAUGGCAGAGGCUGCCGGAAUGUCUGGAACCAGCUAGACAGGAUGUCCUCGGGGGCAAGGCUCCGUCCACUGCCCGGUUUCCAGCUGGUCUCACGUCCGUGAAUGCUGCUGCAGCCUUGUGAAAGCUGGGACCCAAACUCAUGAUGUCCAAACCCCAAUCAGUUUUCAGAGGUUUGGCCUGGAUACAGCUGGACCUGCAGUCUUGGAAUCUCAGCCUCUCUGGCUGGUUCUCUUCCUGUCGGGAUGGAGCCAGUGAAUUCUCACCCUUCCCACCAGCUCCUCUGCACCCCACUGCCUGGUGGUCUUCAUGGAAAGUUCUAUCCUCAGGCAAGGAUCACAAACCCAAAUGUCUUCAGCGGAUCAGCCAGAGACAUCAGCGGUAACCUCUUACCCACGUAGAGAGAGACGCUGGAGGGAUCGCCCAACGCAUACACAUAGUCAUGUGCAUAGACAGAUAUAAAACUAAG